CUACGGUGUUCUCUGUUUUGCUCUACGACCCCCACAAGCAUCAGAAGUUGAUACAGCCAAUCUGCCAACCUCCGUCUGUAGCUUUCGAACAGUUUGACCCAUCUGUGUAAAGGUCACAUACAGGACAAGGCAGUUGCCACAGACACUGAUGAGGAACACCAGAGAGUAGAAGAUUGGGAAGAUGAUCAAGGCAGCUCUCUGGUAGACAAAGACAUCACACAUCUGGUUGGUGUCAGAGGUGUUUAAAUCCACCACAGAGAUGUUGGUAGACAUUUCUCCUGUUGAGAAAAAAAUCUGUUUGAGAAAAAAAGGAUGAACCCUGAUGAAUAAAUAACCCAAAAAGUU